GUUCCGUAGGUGAACCUACGGAAGGAUCAUUAUCAUGUAAUUCGGUCCCCUUGGCUGUGUUAUAUAUAUACCCACUCUGUGUACCUUCUCCUGUUGCUUCCGCUGGGUGUGUAAUUCGCCCGGCGGAAGGGUAAAAAUAACCUCUGAGUAUUGAUGAAAUCUCUGUCUGAACCGAAUAGAAAGAAAAAUGUUAAAACUUUCAGCAACGGAUCUCUUGGUUCUC
rnacentral:misc_RNA from 1 species